UGGGGAAUAUUGCACAAUGGGCGCAAGCCUGAUGCAGCCAUGCCGCGUGUAUGAAGAAGGCCUUCGGGUUGUAAAGUACUUUCAGCGGGGAGGAAGGGGAGUAAAGUUAAUACCUUUGCUCAUUGACGUUACCCGCAGAAGAAGCACCGGCUAACUCCGUGCCAGCAGCCGCGGUAAUACGGAGGGUGCAAGCGUUAAUCGGAAUUACUGGGCGUAAAGCGCACGCAGGCGGUUUGUUAAGUCAGAUGUGAAAUCCCCGGGCUCAACCUGGGAACUGCAUCUGAUACUGGCAAGCUUGAGUCUCGGUAGAGGGGGGUAGAAUUCCAGGUGUAGCGGUGAAAUACGUAGAGAUCUGGAGGAAUACCGGUGGCGAAGGCGGCCCCCUGGACGAAGACUGACGCUCAGGUGCGAAAGCGUGGGGGAGCAAAACAGGAUUAGAUACCCUGGUAGUCCACGCCGUAAACGAUGUCGACUUGGAGGUUGUGCCCUUGAGGCGUGGCUUCCGGAGCUAACGCGUUAAGUCGACCGCCUGGGGAGUACGGCCGCAAGGUU
rnacentral:rRNA from 1 species